UGGGCUAGACAACGGCGGAUCGUCCUAGAAAUAGGAUUUUCCCUUCGGGGACUGCCGGUUCAGGUGCUGCAUGGCUGUCGUCAGCUCGUGCCGUGAGGUGUUGGGUUAAGUCCCGCAACGAGCGCAACCCUCGUUCUAUGUUGCCAGCGGGUUAUGCCGGGGACUCAUAGGAGACUGCCGGGGUCAACUCGGAGGAAGGUGGGGAUGACGUGCGGAAUGUCGAUA
rnacentral:misc_RNA from 1 species